rnacentral:lncRNA from 1 species
GAGUUAGCGACAGGGAGGGAUGCGCGCCUGGGUGUAGUUGUGGGGGAGGAAGUGGCUAGCUCAGGGCUUCAGGGGACAGACAGGGAGAGAUGACUGAGUUAGAUGAGACGAGGGGGCGGGCUGGGGGUGCGAGAAGGAAGCUUGGCAAGGAGACUAGGUCUAGGGGGACCACAGUGGGGCAGGCUGCAUGGAAAAUAUCCGCAGGGUCCCCCAGGCAGAACAGCCACGCUCCAGGCCAGGCUGUCCCUACUGCCUGGUGGAGGGGGAACUUGACCUCUGGGAGGGCGCCGCUCUUGCAUAGCUGAGCGAGCCCGGGUGCGCUGGUCUGUGUGGAAGGAGGAAGGCAGGGAGAGGGUUGGUUAGAGAUACAGUGUGGGUGGUGGGGGUGGUAGGAAAUGCAGGUUGAAGGGAAUUCUCUGGGGCUUUGGGGAAUUUAGUGCGUGGGUGAGCCAAGAAAAUACUAAUUAAUAAUAGUAAGUUGUUAGUGUUGGUUAAGUUGUUGCUUGGAAGUGAGAAGUUGCUUAGAAACUUUCCAAAGUGCUUAGAACUUUAAGUGCAAACAGACAAACUAACAAACAAAAAUUGUUUUGCUUUGCUACAAGGUGGGGAAGACUGAAGAAGUGUUAACUGAAAACAGGUGACACAGAGUCACCAGUUUUCCGAGAACCAAAGGGAGGGGUGUGUGAUGCCAUCUCACAGGCAGGGGAAAUGUCUUUACCAGCUUCCUCCUGGUGGCCAAGACAGCCUGUUUCAGAGGGUUGUUUUGUUUGGGGUGUGGGUGUUAUCAAGUGAAUUAGUCACUUGAAAGAUGGGCGUCAGACUUGCAUACGCAGCAGAUCAGCAUCCUUCGCUGCCCCUUAGCAACUUAGGUGGUUGAUUUGAAACUGUGAAGGUGUGAUUUUUUCAGGAGCUGGAAGUCUUAGAAAAGCCUUGUAAAUGCCUAUAUUGUGGGCUUUUAACGUAUUUAAGGGACCACUUAAGACGAGAUUAGAUGGGCUCUUCUGGAUUUGUUCCUCAUUUGUCACAGGUGUCUUGUGAUUGAAAAUCAUGAGCGAAGUGAAAUUGCAUUGAAUUUCAAGGGAAUUUAGUAUGUAAAUCGUGCCUUAGAAACACAUCUGUUGUCUUUUCUGUGUUUGGUCGAUAUUAAUAAUGGCAAAAUUUUUGCCUAUCUAGUAUCUUCAAAUUGUAGUCUUUGUAACAACCAAAUAACCUUUUGUGGUCACUGUAAAAUUAAUAUUUGGUAGACAGAAUCCAUGUACCUUUGCUAAGGUUAGAAUGAAUAAUUUAUUGUAUUUUUAAUUUGAAUGUUUGUGCUUUUUAAAUGAGCCAAGACUAGAGGGGAAACUAUCACCUAAAAUCAGUUUGGAAAACAAGACCUAAAAAGGGAAGGGGAUGGGGAUUGUGGGGAGAGAGUGGGCGAGGUGCCUUUACUACAUGUGUGAUCUGAAAACCCUGCUUGGUUCUGAGCUGCGUCUAUUGAAUUGGUAAAGUAAUACCAAUGGCUUUUUAUCAUUUCCUUCUUCCCUUUAAGUUUCACUUGAAAUUUUAAAAAUCAUGGUUAUUUUUAUCGUUGGGAUCUUUCUGUCUUCUGGGUUCCAUUUUUUAAAUGUUUAAAAAUAUGUUGACAUGGUAGUUCAGUUCUUAACCAAUGACUUGGGGAUGAUGCAAACAAUUACUGUCGUUGGGAUUUAGAGUGUAUUAGUCACGCAUGUAUGGGGAAGUAGUCUCGGGUAUGCUGUUGUGAAAUUGAAACUGUAAAAGUAGAUGGUUGAAAGUACUGGUAUGUUGCUCUGUAUGGUAAGAACUAAUUCUGUUACGUCAUGUACAUAAUUACUAAUCACUUUUCUUCCCCUUUACAGCACAAAUAAAGUUUGAGUU